rnacentral:rRNA from 1 species
UGAGGAAUAUUGGUCAAUGGGCGAGAGCCUGAACCAGCCAAGUCGCGUGAGGGAAGACGGUCCUAUGGAUUGUAAACCUCUUUUGCCGGGGAGCAAAGAGCGGCACGUGUGCCGCGCCGAGAGUACCCGGAGAAAAAGCAUCGGCUAACUCCGUGCCAGCAGCCGCGGUAAUACGGAGGAUGCGAGCGUUAUCCGGAUUUAUUGGGUUUAAAGGGUGCGCAGGCGGCGCGUUAAGUCAGCGGUAAAAUUUCGGGGCUCAACCCCGACGAGCCGUUGAAACUGGCGUGCUAGAGUGGGCGAGAAGUAUGCGGAAUGCGUGGUGUAGCGGUGAAAUGCGUAGAUAUUAGGAGGAACACCAGUGGCGAAGGCGGCUUACUGGACGGUAACUGACGUUGAGGCUCGAAAGCGUGGGGAGCAAACAGGAUUAGAUACC